rnacentral:rRNA from 1 species
GACGAACGCUGGCGGCGUGCCUAAUACAUGCAAGUCGAGCGGCCCCACCAGGAGCUUGUUCUUGUUCGGUUAGCGGCGGACGGGUGAGUAACACGUGGGUAACCUGCUAGUAAGACCGGGAUAACUACGGGAAACCAGUGCUAAUACCGGAUAACACCGACUACCGCAUGGUCUAUGGUUGAAUGGCGGCUUCGGCUGUCACUUAAGGCUGGGCCCGCGGCGCUUUAGCUAGUUGGAGAGGGAACCGCUCACCAAGGCGCCGAUGCGGAGCCGGCCUGUGAGGGUGACCGGCCACACUGGGACUGAGACACGGCCCAAGCUCCUACGGGGGGCAGCAGUAGGGGAUCUUCCGCAAUGGGCGAAAGGCUGACGGAGGGACGCCGCGUGGGCGAAGAAAGUCUUCGGAGCGGAAAACUCUGUUGGUAGGGAAGAAAAAGCGGCGUGCUAACAGGGCGGCGCGGUGACGGUACCUAACGAGAAAGCCCCGGCUAACUACGUG